rnacentral:rRNA from 1 species
AAAUCUCGUAAGGGUAUAUGGUGGAUGCCUUGACUUAAAAAGACGAUGAAGGACGUAGCAGCCUGCGAAAAGCCUCGGCGAGGUGGCAAGCAACCUUUGACCCGAGGAUCUCCGAAUGGGGUAACCUUCCCCGUUGUUGACGGGGAGCCCGUCAGCCGAAUAAAUAAGCUGAUGAGGGGACUACCCGGCGAAUUGAAACAUCUUAGUAGCCGGAGGAAAAGAAAAAAACCCUCGUGUCUCACUAACGUUCGACACACAAUUUUUAAUGAUCAAUGAUCAAUUUUCAAUCAAUAUUCAAUAUCAAAUAUCAAAAUAUUGAACAGAGGAUUUGAAAAUUGUAUUAUGGAAAAUUGAAAAUUUCACCGUGGCGAGCGAUAGCGAGACACGGGGUCAUUCCCUGAGUAGUGGCGAGCGAAAAGGGAUCAGCCUAAACCGUUUAAACCGCGUUCUCCUUCGCUUUCCGCUCCGUAAGUAAAAAACGGAUCGGACAGCGGAGGGGGGCAGAAGGACCUGGGUCCACAUGUUUAAGCGGUGUCGCAAGAUAUUGCGUUCACUGCCCAGACCACAGUGGGGCAGAGUAUACGAAAAAUAACUUCCUUAGCUGAAGCGAGCUGGAAAGCUCCGCCAGAGACGGUGAUAGCCCGGUAAGCGAAAAGGGUUAUUGCUCUGCGGCAAUAAAUCUUAAGUACCGCGGGACUCGUGAAAUCCCGUGGGAAGCAGGGUCGACUAUGACCCAAGGCUAAAUACUUUUUAAGAUCGAUAGUGAACAAGUACCAUGAGGGAAAGGUGAAAAGCAUCCCGGUUAGGGAGGUGAAAUAGUACCUGAAACCAUAUACUUACAAGGAGCAGGAGCCGUGUCUCACUAACGUUCGACACGAAAUUUUCAAUUUUCAAUUUUAAAAUUUUAAAUUGGUAAUGAUUUUUUUGCUGGGCAAUUUUGAUUUUUUAUUGAUUAUUGAUUAUUUCACCGUGGCGGGCGAUAGCGAGACGCGGUGACUGUGUGCCUAUUGAAGAAUGAGCCAACGAGUUUGUUCUAUGUGGCUUGGCUAAUCCGCCUUGAACGGAGGAGCCAGAGUGAAAGCGAGGGUUAAUAGCCCGUUUCCAUUUAUUUGGUAGAGACGCAAAAUUUUGCGUCUUUACUUGGUAGAGACGCAAAAUUUUGCUUCUUUACCAAAAUAUAUGGAGUGUCGCAUGGACAAGACCCGAAGCCGGGUGAUCCAGCCAUGGCCAGGUUGAAUCCCGCCGAAAGGCGGGAGGAGGACCGAACCCUUUGGUGGUGCAAAACCAUGGGAUGAGCUGUGGCUAGGGCAGAAAUUGCAAUCGAACUCGGCAAUAGCUGGUUCUCCUCGAAAUAGCUUUAGGGCUAGCCUCGGAUGUUUAUAGCGGGGGGUAGAGCACUGAAUGAGAACGGGCCGCAAGGUACCGCUCUUAACCAAACUCCGAAUACCCGUUAACAUAAUCCGGGAGUCAGACUGUGGGGGCUAAGCUUCAUAGUCAAAAGGGAAACAGCCCAGAUCGCCGUCUAAGGCCCCAAAAUGUAUGCUAAGUGUAAAAGGUGGUGUCGUGACUUUAACAACCAGGAGGUUGGCUUAGAAGCAGCCAUCCUUUAAAGAUAGCGUAAUAGCUCACUGGUCAAGUUGCCUCGCGCCGAAAACGUAUCGGGGCUAAGCAUACUGCCGAAGACGCGGGUCGUGCAUAACACAGAAUAUUCAACAAUCAAUAACCAACAAUCAUUCAAUAUUCAAUGAUUUAAUGAUCUAUAAGAGUUGAUUAUUAUCAAAUUGAGUAUUUGAUAUUGAUUGGAUAUUGAGUAUUGAAAAUUGAAUAUUCCGCGUUGUGCGCGGCGGUAGAGGAGCAUUUUGUGCGCACGGAAGCGGAGUCGUAAGGCUUCGUGGAGCGCACGGAAGAGAGAAUGUUGGCAUGAGUAGCAGAAAUCCCGAUGAAAACUCGGGACACCGUAAGCCUAAGGUUUCCUGGGCAACGAAAAUCGUCCCAGGGUUAGUCGGUCCUAAGGCGAGGCCCGUGUAGUGCGGGCGUAGUCGAUGGAAGAGCUGGUUAAUAUUCCAGCACUGCGUUUGGUUUCCAAUGGAGUGACGCAAUCCCAAAAUUCAAACGUUUAUUGGUUUGAACGUUGCUGGAGCCAAGGGGCGGCCACCGGAAAAUCCGGGCCAAUCACCCCAAGGCUUUGGCGAGAGGCAAAGCUUCGGCCGAGCCAAUUUGAACGGCGGGAAGGCCAAGAAAAACUUCUCGGGCUAAGCCAAACGCAACCGUACUGCAAACCGACACAGGUAGGCGAGGCGAGUAGCCUCAGGUGUACGAGAGAAUCUUCGUUAAGGAACUCGGCAAAACAGCGGUCGUAAGUUAGCAAUAUGGCCUUCCGCCGCAAGGCGGACGCAGCGAAAGAUCCCAAGUGACUGUUUAGCAAAAACACAGCUCCCUGCGAACUCGUAAGAGGAUGUAUAGGGGGUGAUGCCUGGCCAGUGUCCGAACGUUAAGGGGAGAGGUGAAACGUGGCUCUUUAUUGGGCGUCAUGCUUAUCGAAGAGUUAUCUGAAUGGAACAAUUUUCCGGUCAGCCUCAAAGUUAAUUAGUUAAUUAGUCAAUUAGGGAUUAAGUACUCCCCUAAUUAAUUAAUCACUAAUCCCUAAUUGACUUGGUGAAAAACUGGAAAUCGUGAUUUUAUCAGAUAACAAUUAACAUGGAAUGAUGCUUGGUAAUGAGCCACGCGUAGCUUUAAACCGAAGCGCGGAUGAACGCCGGCCGUAACUAUAACGGUCCUAAGGUAGCGAAAUUCCUUGUCGGGUAAAUUCCGACCUGCACGAAUGGCAUAACAACUUGGGAACUGUCUCAACGAAGAACUCGGCGAAAUUGCAAGACGAGUAAAGAUGCUCGUUAAACAUAGCUGGACGAAAAGACCCCGUGAAGCUUUACUAUAGCUUGACAUUGAAUUAGAGAUCGUCAUGUUCAGAAUAGGUGGGACCUCGCCGCAAGGCGGGGGCCAGUGAGAUACCACCCUUGGCUAUUUUUAAUUCUAAUCCCGAUCCCUUUCAUCAGGGCGGGAGACAGUGUCUGGUGGGUAGUUUGUCUGGGGCGGAUGCCUCCCAAAAGGUAACGGAGGCGUUUACAAAGGUCGGCUAUCCCGGAAUGGAAACCCGGGAGAUAGUGUAAAGGCACAAGCCGGCUUUACUGCGAGACCUGCAAGUCAAGCAGUCGCGAAAGCGGAACUUAGUGAUCCGACCGUUCGAAAUAGGACGGCGGUAGCUCAUCGGAUAAAAGUUACUCCGGGGAUAACAGGCUAGU